rnacentral:rRNA from 1 species
UUGAUCAGUGGCGAACGGGUGAGUAACACGUGAKAACCUGCCCCAGACUCUGGGAUAACUUCGGGAAAUCGGAGCUAAUACCGGAUAUGAGACGUCCUCGCAUGGGGAGCGUCUGGAAAGAUUUAUCGGUCUGGGAUGGACUCGCGGCCUAUCAGCUAGUUGGUGAGGUAAUGGCUCACCAAGGCGACGACGGGUAGCCGGCCUGAGAGGGCGACCGGCCACACUGGGACUGAGAUACGGCCCAGACUCCUACGGGAGGCAGCAGUGGGGAAUAUUGCACAAUGGGCGAAAGUGAUGCAGCGACGCCGCGUGAGGGAUGAAGGCCUUCGGGUUGUAAACCUCUUUCAGCAGGGAAGAAGCGMCUGGGUUUUCUCAAUCGUGACGRKACCUGCAGAAGAAGCGCCGACUAACUACGUGCCAACAGCCGCGGUAAUACGUAGGGCGCAAGCGUUGUCCGGAAUUAUUGGGCGUAAAGAGCUCGUAGGCGGUCUGUCGCGUCUGUUGUGAAAACUCGAGGCUCAACCUCGGGCUUGCAGUGGAUACGGGCAGACUAGAGUGCGGUAGGGGAGACUGGAAUUCCUGGUGUAGCGGUGGAAUGCGCAGAUAUCAGGAGGAACACCGAUGGCGAAGGCAGGUCUCUGGGCCGCAACUGACGCUGAGGAGCGAAAGCAUGGGGAGCGAACAGGAUUAGAUACCCUGGUAGUCCAUGCCGUAAACGUUGGGCACUAGGUGUGGGGCUCAUUCCACGAGUUCCGUGCCGCACGAACGCAUUAAGUGCCCGCCUGGGGAGUACGGCCGCAAGGCUAAAACUCAAAGAAAUUGACGGGGGCCGCACAAGCGGCGGAGCAUGCGGAUUAAUUCGAUGCAACGCGAAGAACCUUACCAAGGCUUGACAUAUACCGGAAAAGUGCAGAGAUGUGCUCCCCGCAAGGUCGGUAUACAGGUGGUGCAUGGUUGUCGUCAGCUCGUGUCGUGAGAUGUUGGGUUAAGUCCCGCAACGAGCGCAACCCUCGUCCUAUGUUGCCAGCGGGUCAUGCCGGGGACUCAUAGGAGACUGCCGGGGUCAACUCGGAGGAAGGUGGGGAUGACGUCAAAUCAUCAUGCCCCUUAUGUCUUGGGUUCACGCAUGCUACAAUGGCCGGUACAAAGGGCUSGAUACCGCAAGGUGGAGCGAAUCCCAAAAAGCCGGUCUCAGUUCGGAUUGGGGUCUGCAACUCGACCCCAUGAAGUCGGAGUCGCUAGUAAUCGCAGAUCAGCAACGCUGCGGUGAAUACGUUCCCGGGCCUKGUACACACCGCCCGUCAAGUCACGAAAGUCGGUAACACCCU